rnacentral:tRNA from 1 species
AGAGUUGUAGUCAACUAUGAUAUUUGGGUUGCAUUCAAAAGGUGCUUUUUUAAAAGCCAACUUUG